AAGUGGGUAAUCCUAUGCUGCCAAGAAAAGCCUCUAGCGAGUGUUAAAGCCGCCCGUACCCCAAACCGACACAGGUGGUCAGGUAGAGAAUACUAAGGCGAUCGAGAUAACUAUGGUUAAGGAACUCGGCAAAAUGCCCCCGUAACUUCGGGAGAAGGGGGGCCCGUUCUGGUGAGGAGAUUUACUCUCCGAGCUGGGAUUGGCCGCAGAGACCAGGCCCAAGCGACUGUUUACUAAAAACACAGGUCUAUGCUAAGUCGCAAGACGCUGUAUAUGGACUGACGCCUGCCCGGUGCUGGAACGUUAAGGGGACGGGUUAGCGACUUCGGUCGCGAAGCUCAGAACUUAAGCGCCAGUAAACGGCGGUGGUAACUAUAACCAUCCUAAGGUAGCGAAAUUCCUUGUCGGGUAAGUUCCGACCUGCACGAAUGGCGUAACGACUUGGGCGCUGUCUCAACCGUAGACUCGGCGAAAUUGCACUACGAGUAAAGAUGCUCGUUACGCGCGGCAGGACGGAAAGACCCCGGGACCUUUACUACAGCUUGGUAUUGGUGGUCGAUUCGAUUUGUGUAGGAUAGGUGGGAGACUGUGAACUUCGGACGCCAGUUCGAAGGGAGUCAUCGUUGAAAUACCACUCUGAUCGUAUUGGCUGUCUAACCUAGAUCCGUAAUCCGGAUCAGGGACAGUGCCUGGUGGGUAGUUUAACUGGGGCGGUUGCCUCCUAAAAUGUAACGGAGGCGCUCAAAGGUUCCCUCAGCCUGGUUGGCAAUCAGGUAUCGAGUGUAAGUGCACAAGGGAGCUUGACUGUGAGACUGACGGGUCGAGCAGGGACGAAAGUCGGAACUAGUGAUCCGGCGCUGGCAAGUGGAAGCGGCGUCGCUCAACGGAUAAAAGGUACCCCGGGGAUAACAGGCUGAUCUUGCCCAAGAGUCCAUAUCGACGGCAUGGUUUGGCACCUCGAUGUCGGCUCGUCGCAUCCUGGGGCUGGAGUAGGUCCCAAGGGUUGGGCUGUUCGCCCAUUAAAGCGGCACGCGAGCUGGGUUUAGAACGUCGUGAGACAGUUCGGUCACUAUCCGCCGCGCGCGUAAGAGUCUUGAGAAGAUCUGUCCCUAGUACGAGAGGACCGGGAUGGACGAACCUCUGGUGUGUCAGUUGUCCUGCCAAGGGCACUGCUGAUUAGCUACGUUCGGAAGAGAUAACCGCUGAAAGCAUCUAAGCGGGAAACUCGCUUCAAGAUGAGGGCUCUCACAGGGUUAACCUGGUAAGGCCCCCAGUAGACCACUGGGUUGAUAGGCCGGAAGUGGAAGUGCGGUAACGCAUGCAGCUGACCGGUACUAAUAGGCCGAGGACUUGC
rnacentral:rRNA from 1 species